rnacentral:rRNA from 1 species
UACGAAGGGGGCUAGCGUUGUUCGGAAUUACUGGGCGUAAAGCGCACGUAGGCGGAUAUUUAAGUCAGGGGUGAAAUCCCAGAGCUCAACUCUGGAACUGCCUUUGAUACUGGGUAUCUCGAGUAUGGAAGAGGUGAGUGGAAUUCCGAGUGUAGAGGUGAAAUUCGUAGAUAUUCGGAGGAACACCAGUGGCGAAGGCGGCUCACUGGUCCAUUACUGACGCUGAGGCGCGAAAGCCAGGGGAGCAAACGGGG